rnacentral:rRNA from 1 species
CAAAGGAAUUGACGGGACCCGCACAAGCAGCGGAGCGUGUGGUUAAUUCGAGGCUACACGAAGAACCUUACCAGGGUUUGACAUGCAAGUGGUAGGAAUCCGAAAGGUGACCGACCCUUCGGGGAGCUUGCACAGGUGCUGCAUGGCUGUCGUCAGCUCGUGUCGUGAGAUGUUCGGUUAAGUCCGCUAACGAGCGCAACCCUCGUCGUGUGUUAUACGUGUCACACGAUACUGCCGGUAUCAAGCCGGAGGAAGGUGGGGAUGAUGUCAAGUCAGCAUGGCCUUUAUAUCCUGGGCUACACACACGCUACAAUGGCAGAUACAAUAGGUUGCGAAACCGCGAGGUGGAGCCAAUCCUCAAAGUCUGUCUCAGUUCAGAUUGUAGGCUGCAACUCGCCUGCAUGAAGUUGGAGUUGCUAGUAAACGCAGGUCAGCUAUACUGCGUUGAGUACGUUCCCGGGGUUU